rfam:Kouleothrix aurantiaca strain COM-B contig_98, whole genome shotgun sequence.
AGGGAAGACAGAAUGAGCAGAGGGUGGAUGCCUCGGCGCUGCGUGCCGAAGAAGGACGUGGCAUUGCUGCGAUAAGCGGGGGGGAGCCGCGAGCGGGCGUUGAUCCUCCGAUUUCCGAAUGGGGCAACCCCACAGCCUUUGGCUGUGACCGCCGUCUGGCGGAGGGCACCGGGGGAACUGAAACAUCUCAUGUACCCCGAGGAACAGAAAUCAUCCCCGUAGUAGCGGCGAGCGAACCGGGGGAAGCCUAAACGAGCCGCGUGCCAAGCCGGCAGGCCUUGCGCGUCUCGGGUUGGAAGACUAUCCGCUGAGGAGCUGCCGCUCCUCGCAGGUAUGGCAACCGUGCAGGGAAAGACGUCUGGAAAGCGUCGCCAUAGACCGUGACAGCCGGGUACCCGACCCACGUCGUUGCUCCUGGGAUAGCUCUUGAGUAGCGCCGGACACGAGAAAUCCGGCGUGAAGCUGGGGGGCCCACCUCCCAAGGCUACAUACACGCAGUGACCGAUAGCGCACAGUACCGUGAGGGAACGGUGAAAAGUACCCCGGCGAGGGGAGUGAAAUAGAUCCUGAAACCGUCUGCUUACGUGCAGUCGAAGGGCGAGACCUUGUGUCGCCUGACGGCGUGCCUUUUGGAGUAUGAUCCGGCGAGUUACCCUUCGUGGCCGGUUAAGCCAGUCAUAGGCGGAGCCACAGCGAAAGCGAGUCUGAAUAGGGCGCGUGUCGCGGGGGGUAGACCCGAAACCGCUUGAGCUAUCCAUGGUCAGGCUGAAGCGUCCGUAACAGGACGUGGAGGGCCGAACCGGUGUAGGUUACAAACUGCUCGGAUGAACUGUGGAUAGGGGUGAAAUGCCAAUCGAAAGCGGAGAUAGCUGGUUCUCCCCGAAAUGCAUUGAGGUGCAGCCCGGAUGUAGGGGCUGCCUGAGGUAGAGCACUGUUGUUGUGCGGGGGCUUCACCGCCUACCAAGCGACGGCAAACUCCGAAUGCAGGCAGCACACCACCGGAGUGAGACAGUGGGCGCAAACGUUCAUUGUCAAAAGGGAAACAACCCAGACCUGCAGCUAAGGUCCCGAAAUCCAUGCUGAGUGGCAAAGGAUGUGUCGUUGCACAAACAACCAGGAGGUUGGCUUAGAAGCAGCCACCCUUGAAAGAGUGCGUAACAGCUCACUGGUCGAGUGACGGCGCGCCGAUAAUCCAACGGGGCAAAGCAUGGUACCGAAGCUCAGGAUGCAGCCUUUUGGCUGCGUGGUAGGGGAGCGUCGGCAGGCCGGCGAAGCGGUAGCGGAAGCCAACCGUGGAGGCCUGCCGAGUGCGAAUGCCGGAACGAGUAACAGAGAAGGGGAGUGCGAACCUCCCCCACCGGAAGCCUAAGGGUUCCGCCGCAAGGGUGAUCCGCGGCGGGUUAGUCGGGCCUAAGGGGCGCCCCAGCGGGCGAUCACCGAUGGACAACUGGUAGACAUUCCAGUACUAUGGUUUAUUCGUUUGACCAAUGCCGGAUGCUGAUGGGGAACCGCCGCGGCGAGACGUGCGCCGUCCAAGCUGGUAGGGAGGCACAGGUUAAUCCCUGUGUCAGUGACCGAGAGGCGAGAGCGAGCGGGGGUAGCAAUACCCACCGCAAGGGGGGGGCACCUAGGCAGUCAAGAAAGGCCGGCUCGGGAGAAUAACCGUACCCGUACCGCAAACCGACACAGGUAGGCUGGCUGAGCAAGCUAAGGUGGACGAGUGAUCCCGGGUUAAGGAACUCGGCAAUUUACCCCCGUACCUUCGGUAGAAGGGGGGCUCCUGGCGGUGACCCGCCUUGCGCGGCGAGCGGCUGGGAGCGGCACAAACCAGGCCCAGGCGACUGGAUAACAGAACCACAGGUCCCUGCUGAAGUCGUAAGACGACGUAUAGGGGCUGAUGCCUGCCCAGUGCUGGAAGGUUAAGGGGAGGGGUUCACGCUCCGAACCGAAGCCCCAGUGAACGGCGGCUGUAACUAUAACAGUCCUAAGGUAGCGAAAUUCCUUGUCGGGUAAGUUCCGACCCGCACGAAAGGCAUCACGAUCUGGGCAGUGUCUCAACCCGGGGCUCGGUGAAACUGCGAUCACGGUUAGGACGCCGUGAACCCGUAGCAGGACAAAAAGACCCCAUGGAGCUUUACUACAGCUUGCCAUUGGAUGCGGUCUACGGCUGCGUAGCAUAGGUGGGAGCCAGUGAUCCGGCCCUUGCGGGGGUCGGGGAGGCAGCAGUGAAAUACCACUCUGUCGUAGAUUGCGUCCUCACGCGCCAAAGGUGCGGACCGUGGCUGGUGGGUAGUUUGUCUGGGGCGGACGCCUCCCAAAAGGUAACGGAGGCGCGCAAUGGUCCCCUCACGCGGGAUGGCAACCCGCGGUUGAGUGCAAAGGCACAAGGGGGCUUGACUGCAAGGCAAACAGGCCGCGCAGAGACGAAAGUCGGCCUUAGUGAUCCUACGGCCCGGAGUGGAACGGCCGUAGCUUAUCGGAUAAAAGCUACCCUGGGGAUAACAGGCUGAUCCUGCCCAAGAGUUCACAUCGACGGCAGGGUUUGGCACCUCGAUGUCGGCUCGUCGCAUCCUGGGGCUGGAGUCGGUCCCAAGGGUUGGGCUGUUCGCCCAUUAAAGCGGCACGCGAGCUGGGUUCAGAACGUCGUGAGACAGUUCGGUCUCUAUCCGCUACGGGCGCCUAGUGUAUUGCGCGGAGCUGAUCUUAGUACGAGAGGACCGGAUUGGACGGACCGCUGGUGGAGGAGUUGUGGGACGACCUGCAGGCUCCGUAGCUAUGUCCGGAAGCAAGAACCGCUGAAAGCAUCUAAGUGGGAAAUGCGCCGCAAGAUGAGUACACUCACGGGCUUGGCCCGGUAAGUCCCCCAGGAGAUGACUGGGUGAGCGGCUGGAGCUGGAGGCGUGGCGACACGUGGAGGCGACCAGUGCGCAUGGACGAGGGCUUCCCUGG